UUGAGUCCCUGAAUACAUAGGUUAACAGAGCAAACCGGGGGAACUGAAACAUCUAAGUACCCCGAGGAGAAGAAAUCAACCGAGAUUCCGGUAGUAGCGGCGAGCGAACCUGGAUUAGCCCUUAAGCACUCGGUGAAGUAGGUGAACAAGCUGGAAAGCUUGGCGAUACAGGGUGAUAGCCCCGUAACCGACGCUUCAUCGAGCGUGAAAUCGAGUAGGGCGGGACACGUGAUAUCCUGUCUGAAUAUGGGGGGACCAUCCUCCAAGGCUAAAUACUCCUGACUGACCGAUAGUGAACCAGUACCGUGAGGGAAAGGCGAAAAGAACCCCUGUGAGGGGAGUGAAAUAGAACCUGAAACCGUGUACGUACAAGCAGUAGGAGCACCUUCGUGGUGUGACUGCGUACCUUUUGUAUAAUGGGUCAGCGACUUAUAUUCAGUGGCAAGGUUAACCGUAUAGGGGAGCCGUAGCGAAAGCGAGUCUUAACUGGGCGCUCAGUCUCUGGAUAUAGACCCGAAACCGGGUGAUCUAGCCAUGGGCAGGUUGAAGGUUGAGUAACAUCAACUGGAGGACCGAACCGACUAAUGUUGAAAAAUUAGCGGAUGACUUGUGGCUAGGGGUGAAAGGCCAAUCAAACUCGGAGAUAGCUGGUUCUCCCCGAAAGCUAUUUAGGUAGCGCCUCGGACGAAUACUACUGGGGGUAGAGCACUGUUAAGGCUAGGGGGUCAUCCCGACUUACCAACCCUUUGCAAACUCCGAAUACCAGUAAGUACUAUCCGGGAGACACACGGCGGGUGCUAACGUCCGUCGUGGAGAGGGAAACAACCCAGACCGCCAGCUAAGGUCCCAAAGUAUUGCUAAGUGGGAAACGAUGUGGGAAGGCUCAGACAGCUAGGAUGUUGGCUUAGAAGCAGCCAUCAUUUAAAGAAAGCGUAAUAGCUCACUAGUCGAGUCGGCCUGCGCGGAAGAUGUAACGGGGCUAAGCAAUACACCGAAGCUGCGGCAAUAUCUUUUAGAUAUUGGGUAGGGGAGCGUUCUGUAAGCCGUUGAAGGUGAAUCGUAAGGUUUGCUGGAGGUAUCAGAAGUGCGAAUGCUGACAUGAGUAACGACAAAGGGGGUGAAAAACCUCCUCGCCGGAAGACCAAGGGUUCCUGUCCAACGUUAAUCGGGGCAGGGUGAGUCGACCCCUAAGGUGAGGCCGAAAGGCGUAAUCGAUGGGAAACGGGUUAAUAUUCCCGUACUUCUGACUAUUGCGAUGGGGGGACGGAGAAGGCUAGGUGGGCCAGGCGACGGUUGUCCUGGUUCAAGUGCGUAGGCUUGAGAGUUAGGUAAAUCCGGCUCUCUCUAAGGCUGAGACACGACGUCGAGCUGCUACGGCAGUGAAGUCAUUGAUGCCAUGCUUCCAGGAAAAGCCUCUAAGCUUCAGAUAGUCAGGAAUCGUACCCCAAACCGACACAGGUGGUCGGGUAGAGAAUACCAAGGCGCUUGAGAGAACUCGGGUGAAGGAACUAGGCAAAAUGGUACCGUAACUUCGGGAGAAGGUACGCUCUUGAUGGUGAAGUCCCUCGCGGAUGGAGCUGACGAGAGUCGCAGAUACCAGGUGGCUGCAACUGUUUAUUAAAAACACAGCACUGUGCAAAAUCGCAAGAUGACGUAUACGGUGUGACGCCUGCCCGGUGCCGGAAGGUUAAUUGAUGGGGUUAGCGCAAGCGAAGCUCUUGAUCGAAGCCCCGGUAAACGGCGGCCGUAACUAUAACGGUCCUAAGGUAGCGAAAUUCCUUGUCGGGUAAGUUCCGACCUGCACGAAUGGCGUAAUGAUGGCCACGCUGUCUCCACCCGAGACUCAGUGAAAUUGAAAUCGCUGUGAAGAUGCAGUGUACCCGCGGCUAGACGGAAAGACCCCGUGAACCUUUACUACAGCUUGGCACUGAACAUUGAACCUACAUGUGUAGGAUAGGUGGGAGGCUAUGAAGACGUGACGCCAGUUGCGUUGGAGCCGUCCUUGAAAUACCACCCUUGUAUGUUUGAUGUUCUAACUUAGACCCGUUAUCCGGGUUGAGGACAGUGCCUGGUGGGUAGUUUGACUGGGGCGGUCUCCUCCCAAAGAGUAACGGAGGAGCACGAAGGUGGGCUAAUCACGGUUGGACAUCGUGAGGUUAGUGCAAUGGCAUAAGCCCGCUUAACUGCGAGAAUGACGGUUCGAGCAGGUGCGAAAGCAGGUCAUAGUGAUCCGGUGGUUCUGUAUGGAAGGGCCAUCGCUCAACGGAUAAAAGGUACUCCGGGGAUAACAGGCUGAUACCGCCCAAGAGUUCAUAUCGACGGCGGUGUUUGGCACCUCGAUGUCGGCUCAUCACAUCCUGGGGCUGAAGUCGGUCCCAAGGGUAUGGCUGUUCGCCAUUUAAAGUGGUACGCGAGCUGGGUUUAGAACGUCGUGAGACAGUUCGGUCCCUAUCUGCCGUGGGCGUUGGAAGAUUGAAGGGGGCUGCUCCUAGUACGAGAGGACCGGAGUGGACGAACCUCUGGUGUUCGGGUUGUGUCGCCAGACGCAUUGCCCGGUAGCUAAGUUCGGAAUUGAUAAGCGCUGAAAGCAUCUAAGCGCGAAGCGAGCCCUGAGAUGAGUCUUCCCUGACAGUUUAACUGUCCUAAAGGGUUGUUCGAGACUAGAACGUUGAUAGGCAGGGUGUGUAAGCGUUGUGAGGCGUUGAGCUAACCUGUACUAAUUGCCCGUGAGGCUUAACCA
rnacentral:rRNA from 1 species